ensembl:lncRNA
GGGGUCAACCUCCAUUGUGACACUUCUAAACCCCACCAUCCAAAAUUCCCAAGGAGUGGCAGCUGGGGCCAGAAAUGGAGGGACCAGAACCACAGAACACAAACAAGGGUCCUUUGGCUGCGUUGACGUCUUCAAACAGCCCUGCUCAAGAAGCUCACGACCAGCAUCCCAGGGCUUGAGAAGACAAAAAUGGCAGCUGAGAGCUUUUCAACAUGCCCUAGAUCAAAGGAAGCCUAUCUGGACACAGCAAAUAUUAUUAACAUUAUCAAUGCAGCCAUCACUGGGCACUCGGUCUCCAUUUUCACUCGAAUGAAGUUAGUGUGUGAAAACCCAAUUAGGAGAGAGAAACAAGAUGUACUUUAGAGGUGCGUCCACCACAGCCCAUCUCAGCCUUGAAUAAUCAUCCCUUCCGGUGUGUGCUUGAGUAGUUUACCAGAAUGUACUCACGUACACAGAAAGCAGAAGUGACAGUCAAGGAACUGGAGCCGAUGCAAGGCCCUAGGGACACGGCGUACGUCCCCCUCCUUCUCGCUGCCAACGUCCGGACGGAGUCAGAGAGCAGUACUUCUAGGCCUGGAGCCACACCAUUGUCCAUACUGGGGACAUGGUGCAUACCAUGGGCCCAGAAGCAGCACCACUCCCAUCUGCUGUAUUCCAUCAACAGCCUGUACCUUUGUUGGGACAACCAGAAAAGUCCAUAGAUGUUAUCCAGCGUCCCAAAGUCCCAAGGACCUGUUAUGAAAUUGUCUCCAUCAGAGUCCCCGGCCACAUGGAGGUACUCCAGAAACCCUGACAAGCUGGGAGCGAGGUCACAGGUUCCCAGGGCUGGCUGAUGAUGUUUAUUGGAAUGGCAAAGCUGUAUACACAGCACAGCCCUUAGCAGCCAUGUGCCACUGGCUGGAAUGGCUGGCUUAUGGAAAGCCCUAGGCCCUCCAGCACUCCCUGGGGUGUAUCAAGAUGUCUCCAUUUGAGCAGACCCAACUAAGAUCGGGUUGUAACAAAGGGAAGAAACCUGUCUGAGCAGGGACCCAAUCUCGGCAGAUCCACACACCCACAAGUCUCGUUUCUAUGUCCCCAAAUGGUGACAUAACUACUAUGCUCAAAUCUCUCCCACAGGGCUCUUUUUAGAUUAUUGAUAUGGAGGUACCUUGGAAAACUAAAUCCAACGUGAUGCAUCCAGGUGAGGUACCUGCUGUCUCCAAAAUCAAGCGGCAAAGGGCAGAUCUAAGUUUGAGGCCAGCCAUAGAUACAUACCGUGAUCACGCUGCAAGAUCUAAAAUAAAUAAAUAAAAAACCUUGAUGUCA